CCGAAAUUCGCCUUCAUGAAGCUGGAAUUGCUAGUAAUGGCAGGUCAGCAUACUGCCGUGAAUACGUUCCCGGGCCUUGUACACACCGCCCGUCACACCAUGAGAGUUGGGAAUACCCGAAGCCUGUGAGCCAACUUUUAAAGAGGCAACAGUCGAAGGUAGAAUCAAUGAUUGGGGUGAAGUCGUAACAAGGUAGC
rnacentral:rRNA from 1 species